rnacentral:rRNA from 1 species
GAUGAACGCUGGCGGCGUGCCUAAUACAUGCGAGUCGAGCGAACGGACGAGAAGCUUGCUUUUCUGAUGUUAGCGGCGGACGGGUGAGUAACACGUGGAUAACCUACCUAUAAGACUGGGAUAACUUCGGGAAACCGGAGCUAAUACCGGAUAAUAUUUUGAACCGCAUGGUUCAAAAGUGAAAGACGGUCUUGCUGUCACUUAUAGAUGGAUCCGCGCUGCAUUAGCUAGUUGGUAAGGUAACGGCUUACCAAGGCAACGAUGCAUAGCCGACCUGAGAGGGUGAACGGCCACACUGGAACUGAGACACGGUCCAGACUCCUACGGGAGGCAGCAGUAGGGAAUCUUCCGCAAUGGGCGAAAGCCUGACGGAGCAACGCCGCGUGAGUGAUGAAGGUCUUCGGAUCGUAAAACUCUGUUAUUAGGGAAGAACAUAUGUGUAAGUAACUGUGCACAUCUUGACGGUACCUAAUCAGAAAGCCACGGCUAACUACGUG